rnacentral:lncRNA from 1 species
AGCAGUGAGCGGUGGGUGACCGGGAGGAGAAACCGCCUCCCCCCGCCGGGCGCGGUUGGCUGCGGGGCGAGGUCGCCCUGCCCGGGCAGGGGGGAGCCGGCGCCGGGUCUCUGAUUGGGCUGCGGGAGAAGCGGGCGCCGCGGCGGGUAAAGGGCGAGGGGGCGGCGGAGUCCGGCCAGAGCCGGGGGAGCCGCCGCCGCCAUGAGCGCCAGGAAGUCCCUGGGGCGCAGCAGGAGGAAAGCGGCGUGUCCCCCGCAGGUAACAACAAGAGAAGAACAUUUUGAUAUAAGGGAUCCAGUGUCUGACAGUGAGAAACCUUUUAAAUUGGAAGGAAAAGCUAAGAACAAAGACAAAGUCAUCCAUAAACUGAAUUUAAAGUAGAUUGACGAUCUGAAGAAGAAAAACCAUGAUUUAGAGCAACAUGUUAUGGGACUGCUUGAUAGUAAGCAGGUGGUGGAGAGUCAGGUGGACAGUUUGACCAAUAAGAAUGAGUAUCUGUGUAAAGAACUUGCUGUAGUUGAC